rnacentral:rRNA from 1 species
UGGCAUGGGCGCAAGCCUGACCGCCUGCCGCGUGAGUGAUGAAGGCCUUCGGGUUGUAAAGCUCUUUUGGCGGGGACGAUGAUGACGGUACCCGCAGAAUAAGCCCCGGCUAACUUCGUGCCAGCAGCCGCGGUAAGACGAAGGGGGCUAGCGUUGUUCGGAAUUACUGGGCGUAAAGCGAGUGUAGGUGGUUGUCCAAGUUGGAUGUGAAAGCCUUGAGCUCAACUCAAGAAAUGCAUUCAGGACUGGAUGGCUAGAGGACCGGAGAGGAUAGUGGAAUUCCCAGUGUAGUGGUGAAAUACGUAGAGAUUGGGAAGAACACCAGUGGCGAAGGCGGCUAUCUGGACGGUUUCUGACACUAAGACUCGAAA